AAACGCCGUGGUGGUUCCUGUUACCUUAGGGGAUGUCCCUCUAAUUCUAUGUACCUUGGAAAAUGCUGGAUUGGCUCUUGCUGUCAAAGGUUUAUCAACUGAUUGUCUAGGCAGGAUCUCUGGGAAUCUGGCAGAGAUCCACUUGCUUCUAAAAUCAUCAGAUCCUGGUUCAAUGGAACCCUGACGUGCUGCUUAUUUGGGAUAUAAAUAACCUUGUGAGCUGGAGAAAUUCCAGAAAGAAGCUCUUGUAUCACCAUAUAACAUUUGUUACUCUUCUUUUAAUAAAAGCAAGCUGGUUUAAGAUCA